rnacentral:tRNA from 1 species
UUCCUGGUGGUCCAGUGGCUAAGAUGCUGAGCUCCCAAUGCAUGGAGCCCAGGUUCAAUCCCUGGUCAGGGAA